AUGUAUAUGGAUCUAAUUAAUUCUGGCCCAAUCCCAAGAUCGUUACAUAUCUGGAAAAUUAAGGUUCCCUUGCGUAUCAAGAUUUUCAUGUGGUUUGUCCACAAGCAAGUGAUCCUCACCAAAGAUAGUUUAAUAAAGCGAUGUUGGGUAGGUAAUGCACAAUGUUGUUUUUGUGAUCAUGACAAAACAAUACAGUGGUUAGCGGCUUCUCUACUAGAGCUUGAUCAUGUGGGUUCGAAUCCCACUAAGCGCAGCAGCUACUUUUUGAGUUUAAUAUUUACUAAAAGAAAGAAAGAAACGUAA
rnacentral:rRNA from 1 species